rnacentral:rRNA from 1 species
AACUGGUUGAUCCUGCCAGUAGUGAUAUGCUUGUCUCAAAGAUUAAGCCAUGCACGUGUAAGUACAAGCCGUCAAUAGAAGCGAAACCGCAAAUGGCUCAUUAAAUCAGUUACGGUCCCCUUGGCGGUUGAGAUUACUUGGAUAACUGUGGUAAUCCUAGAGCUAAUACAUGCACUGGAGCUCCGAUCCCGCGAGGGAGACGAGCGCUUUUAUUAGACCAAGACCAGCCCGCGUUCGCGCGGCAGCGACUGGUGACUCUGUAUAACCUAGGGCGGAUCGCACGGGCUCGUCCCGGCGACGCGUCUUUCGAGUGUCUGCCUUAUCAACUGUCGAUGGUAGGUCAUGCGCCUACCAUGGUCGUCACGGGUGACGGGGAAUCAGGGUUCGAUUCCGGAGAGGGAGCCUGAGAAACGGCUACCACAUCCAAGGAAGGCAGCAGGCACGCAAAUUACCCACUCCCGGCUCGGGGAGGUAGUGACGAAAAAUAACGAUACGGGACUCUUUCGAGACCCCGUGAUCGGAAUGAUCGCAAGGUAAAGAGUGUUCGAAAGGAACGAUUGGAGGGCAAGUCUGGUGCCAGCAGCUGCGGUAACUCCAGCUCCGAUAGCGUAAGCUAAAUUUGUUGCGGAUGAAAAGCUCGUAGUCGGAUCUCAGCCCGGGACGGUGGGGCGCGUCAGCGCCCCUUCCGGUCUCGCGGGCUCUGGCCGUUCACCGAACCGCGAUCUUAACCGGUCGUGGCGCGGGGUCCGGUCAGUUUACCUUGAAGAAACUGAAGUGCUCAAAGCAGGCCUGUCGCCCGCACAAGGAUGCAUGGAAUAAUGCAAGAGGACCUCGGUUCUAUUGUGUUGGUUUUCGGAACCGGAGGUAAUGAUCGAUAGGAACAGACGGGGGGCAUUCGUACUGAGACGCUAGAGGUGAAAUUCUUGGACCGUCGCAGGACGAACUACUGCGAAAGCAUUUGCCAAGAAUGUUUUCAUUGACCAAGAACGAAAGUCAGAGGUUCGAAGGCGAUCAGAUACCGCCGUAGUUCUGACCGUAAACUAUGCCAGCCAGCGAUCCGGUGCUGUUUGAGAAAGGACACGCCGGGCAGCUUCCGGGAAACCAGAGCUUCUGGGUUCCGGGGGAAGUAUGGUUGCAAAACUGAAACUUAAAGGAAUUGACGGAAGGGCACAACCAGGGAUGGAUUCUGCGGCUCAAUUUGACUCAACACGGGAAAACUCACCCGGUCCGGACACGGCUAGGAUUGACAGAUUAAUGGCUCUUUCUUGAUUCCGUGGGUGGUGGUGCAUGGCCGUUUUUAGUUCGUGGGCAUGACCUGUCUGGUUAAUUCCGAUAACGAGCGAGACUCUUGCCUGCUAAAUAGGCUGUUCCGUGAUGUUUCACGGAGAGAUAAUCUUCUUAGAGGAACAAGCGGUUUCGAGCCGCACGAAAAGGAGCAAAAACAGGUCAGUGAUGCCCUUAGAUGUCCGGGGCCGCACGCGCAAUACAAUGAAGGCGACAGCGUGUGCUUUUUUUCCCUGGCCGAGAGGUCCGGGCAACCCGUUGAAACGCCUUCGUGCUGGGGAUAGGGGACUGUAACUGGCCCCUUGAACGAGGAAUCCCCAGUAGGCUCGAGUCAUUAACUCGUGCCGACUAAGUCCCUGCCCUUUGUACACACCGCCCGUCGUUAAUACCGAUUGAGUGGUUCGGUGAGGUCUUCGGACCUGCGCCUCCGUUCCUUCACGGAAAAGGGGUGUCGGAAAGAUGAUCGAACUCGAUCACUUAGAGGAAUUACAAGUCGUAACAAGGUUUCCGUAGGUGAACCUGCGGAAGGAUCAUU